rnacentral:snRNA from 1 species
GUGUUCUUGUCCAUUUUCAUCCA